rnacentral:SRP_RNA from 1 species
UCUGGAUGUGGUGUCAUUCACCUGUAGUCCCAGCUACUUGGGAGGAUGAGGCAGGAGGAUCACUUGAGUCCAGGAGUUCCAGGUUGCAGUGCACUAGGCCCUUUGGGUGUCAGCACUGAGUUUUCCAUCAGUAUGGUGACCUCCUCAAAGUAGGGGAACUCUGCCAGGUUGCUAAGGAGGGAUGAACUGGCCCAGGUCAGAAACCAAGCAGCUAAAAACUCCCAUUGUAAACAGUAGUGGGGUGGCGCCUGUGUAUAUCUACUGCACUCCAGCCUGGGCAGUAGAACAAGACCUCAU